rnacentral:rRNA from 1 species
GAGUUUGAUCAUGGCUCAGAUUGAACGCUGGCGGCAUGCCUUACACAUGCAAGUCGAACGGCAGCAUGAUCUAGCUUGCUAGAUUGAUGGCGAGUGGCGAACGGGUGAGUAAUACAUCGGAACGUGCCCUGUAGUGGGGGAUAACUAGUCGAAAGAUUAGCUAAUACCGCAUACGACCUGAGGGUGAAAGUGGGGGACCGCAAGGCCUCAUGCUAUAGGAGCGGCCGAUGUCUGAUUAGCUAGUUGGUGGGGUAAAGGCCCACCAAGGCGACGAUCAGUAGCUGGUCUGAGAGGACGAUCAGCCACACUGGGACUGAGACACGGCCCAGACUCCUACGGGAGGCAGCAGUGGGGAAUUUUGGACAAUGGCGAAAGCCUGAUCCAGCAAUGCCGCGUGUGUGAAGAAGGCCUCGGUUGUAAG